ensembl:lncRNA
AACCCAGCCCACUUAAAGAAGGCUCUUCAGUGAAUAAAUAGCCCUGGCUGGGAGACGGUGGGUAGGAGAUCGCAGCUUUACUUCUGGUUCAGAUGCUAACUUACUGUGGGCUUUGGACAAAUCACCUCACCACUCAGCUUCGUCACUGUAAAAGAUGUGUCUCCUAUACGGUACAGUUCUGAGCUGAUAGAUGGAGAAAUCAUUGAUUCCAGUUGUGGCGACCUAGAAAGAGCUAAAGGAAGAAACUGAGACAGAAGGGCUGGUGGUACAUGCUGCAUCAGUGUGUGAACUUCCUUGCUACUAAACCGCAUUGACAUAGGCAGCAGGCAGGAUACAAAGCAGAUGCAUCUGGAUGAGAAGUUGGGCUCACAAACUUCUCCCUCCUCAUUUCUACUGAGACAAAUGCUGUCAUAUUGAAUGUAUCAAUGAAGAAACCACAUCUCAGGACAUGUACACACCCCCACCUAUGGGUUGACCACAAUUGGAGAGAUACAGAUGGAGAACUCUCGUGGGGUCACUGGCGAGUCCUGGAGGCAGAGGAAAACUAGACUCCUUGCGGAACGGACAGAAGGAGAACAAAGCCAGAGGUGGUGAGCAGGAGAAGGAGGGUCCGCGGCGCGUGCGGUCCGCUCCCAGUCCGCGGGGGCGCGGCGGGAAGGGGGAGCCACUGAACCUGAGCCCCGCCGCCCCCGGCCCCGCACUGGGCUCCGCAGGCGGCUGCACCGGGGCCGCGGGGUGCCGGCUCCAGCCCGCGUGGCGGCGCCUGGCUCUGUGCAAAGCACGCGGCCGCCUCCGCUAACCUCCUCCGCGGCCCAACUUGGAUGGAGUUGGGGUCCCGAGCGCCUGUGCCCCACGGCCAGCCGGCGGAGAGCCCCGCGCCGCCACCUCGGGUCCGGGACUGCCCUCCGCUCCCGGGAUGGGAAAAGUUGGCGCGGCCGGCGGCUCCCGGCCCGGCUGAGCGCGCUCCUCGCCCGCGUGGGUCUCGGUCUAUCGCGCCCCGGGCGCCCGCGGCGGCGGCUCCUGCUGUAUCCCGCGGUCCCAGGGUUGCUACCCCGUGGAUCCCAUCACCAGUCGCUGCGGGGACCGGCUCCUGCUGCUCCUUUCCUUUCUCUUCCCAGAGAAGCCUCGGGAGAGGUGAGCAGGAUCGAGCAGGAGUAGAAUCCGCUUUGGGCAGCGGGAGCCUGGAACUCUGGAGCAAAAGUAAGAAAAAGCCACAGGCUUCCGGGACGGAGGAGCUGAGGCUGACAGCGUGUGAGCAGUGACGAGGAACUUCGCACACAAACGCCGCUCCAUUGGUCUGACCACAACAGCGUUGUGAGUAGAGAAGCGGCGCUGGGGCGCGUCAGAGAGGAUGCCUGCCACAGCAUGGCGUGCCAAGCCGUGCCAUGUCCUCACCUGGGAUCCGAACCGGCGAACCCCAGGCCUCCGAAGCAGAAUGUGCGCACUUAACCGCUGCGCCACUGGGCCGGCCCCUGCAUAUUUUUUAAAGCCCUUGCUUGAAUGAAACCACCAAACAUGGAAACUAGAAUGCUGAGUGCACUGUCAAUACAGUGUUAAUGUCAUGACAGUUCUCUGAAGAAAAAGAAAACCUGUCUGAUGUUCCCAGUUAUGUCUUACCUGAAUUUUUUUCUCAUUUUUUCUUUCCCCUGAUUCUUUGUGCCAGAGUAGCAGCAACUACAGCAAUAAUAGCCACUAUAGUCCAGGGCCAAACUGCCAGAAACCAGGAUGAAAGAGAUCACCUUCCUCCGCACUCUGCCACUGUGCCCCUGGGUUUUCUUUGGCAGGAGUGCUUCACGUAUUUCCUCAGAAGCCACAUAGCUGUGAGCGCAGCAGUUUUCCUGGAACCAGCGUCAGGAGGUCCCUGCUUCCCUGUGGCAGGCUCCUGUUCUCACUGAGGGUAUCAAGCGUUUCUUCAUCCAAGUGGAAGCGCAUGGCCUUUCCCUUCCUGUUUCAGCAGCUCCCACUCCCAGCCUCAGACCCAGUCAAGACAAGUGGGGCUGCUGCAUGGAGUGAGCCUCUCUGAGCCCCUGAGGGAGGUUAUAAGAGCUUCUCAGAGAACAAAGCUUUGGACUGGACUUGGCUUUGCUGUGAUCCAUUUUCCUGGCAAACUAUGGUGUUGAAUGAAGUUAAGAAGAUGCUCCCUGCAGAUUGCAGUCCGGUCACAAAGGCUGAAAGUUGAGGGGAAGUGGCCAUUGUUCCCUCCUGUUUUAUCACUCCAGGGUCUGUCUCCUUGAAUCUUUGUUGGAGUUAUUGGUAUCCUGGCUUUGUCCAUGUACCCUGGUAUUUGAGUACUGGUGCUCAUAGCACUAGUAAAAAGGGAAACCUAGAAAAAAAAUCUAAAGAAUAAAAUGAAAGUCAUUUGUAACCCAUCUAUUUGUAAAGAAAAUAAAAUUAUGUUUUUAUACCUUAUACUUUGGUUGUUUCCACAUAUAUUUUGAUGUGUUUAUGUUUAAUUAUUGAAAUUAUGUGACACAUGUGUUUCCGUGGUUCUUCAUUUUGCUCUCUUACUGAACAUUAUGUUGUUUUUUCCCAUGCCAUUACCAGUUAUUUAUAAGUGUUAUCAUAAUUGUCACAUCAUAAUGUAUUGUUGAAU